UGGGGAAUAUUGGUCAAUGGACGCAAGUCUGAACCAGCCAUGCCGCGUGCAGGAAGACGGCUCUAUGAGUUGUAAACUGCUUUUGUACGAGGGUAAACUCGGAUACGUGUAUCCGUUUGAAAGUAUCGUACGAAUAAGGAUCGGCUAACUCCGUACCAGCAGCCGCGGUAAUACGGAGGAUUCAAGCGUUAUCCGGAUUUAUUGGGUUUAAAGGGUGCGUAGGCGGUCGGAUAAGUUAGAGGUGAAAUCCCGAGGCUCAACUUCGGAAUUGCCUCUGAUACUGUUCGGCUAGAGAGUAGUUGCGGUAGGCGGAAUGUAUGGUGUAGCGGUGAAAUGCUUAGAGAUCAUACAGAGCACCGAUUGCGAAGGCAGCUUACCAAGCUACUUCUGACGUUGAGGCACGAAAGCGUGGGGAGCAAACAGG
rnacentral:rRNA from 1 species